rnacentral:hammerhead_ribozyme from 1 species
AUACAGUCGACGAGCCUCAAACAGGACGAAAUGCGCGUCCUGGAU